rnacentral:rRNA from 1 species
AGUGAACGCUGGCGGUAGGCCUAACACAUGCAAGUCGAACGGCAGCACAGUAAGAGCUUGCUCUUACGGGUGGCGAGUGGCGGACGGGUGAGGAAUACAUCGGAAUCUACUUUUUCGUGGGGAUAACGUAGGGAAACUUACGCUAAUACCGCAUACGACCUACGGGUGAAAGCAGGGGAUCUUCGGACCUUGCGCGAUUGAAUGAGCCGAUGUCGGAUUAGCUAGUUGGCGGGGUAAAGGCCCACCAAGGCGACGAUCCGUAGCUGGUCUGAGAGGAUGAUCAGCCACACUGGAACUGAGACACGGUCCAGACUCCUACGGGAGGCAGCAGUGGGGAAUAUUGGACAAUAGGCGCAAGCCUGAUCCAGCCAUACCGCGUGGGUGAAGAAGGCCUUCGGGUUGUAAAGCCCUUUUGUUGGGAAAGAAAAGCAGCAGGUUAAUACCCCGCUGUUCUGACGGUACCCAAAGAAUAAGCACCGGCUAACUUCGUG